rnacentral:pre_miRNA from 1 species
AAUAAACCAAUUUUUUAUUUUUUACCUAUAAUUUUGACUCUUCGUUUUAUUCAAAUUUUUUUGCGAUUGAUAUUUUUAUUUUUAUUAGAUGAUAAAUCAUGAAUAGUACUUUAUGUGUGACUAAUUUUUUUCUAAUUUCCUAAAAAUUUUCAAAUACGACGGAUGGUCAAACAUUGGACACGAAAACCGAAG